rnacentral:misc_RNA from 1 species
GCUUAAUGAGCUCAUAUAUAUAUAUUUUGAAAAUGCAUAAUUCAAUGCAUUAAAACACUCAAUGGGCCAGGAUACACAGAAGGUCUACGAUUAGAAUUACAAUACAAUAAGAAAACCCCUACGUAGUUCCAAGUACAAUACAAGGCCCAGGUCCCCAACCAUCAAACCCUAGACAGGAACACCAAGGUCUUCUUCUCCGCGUAGUAGCAUCGUCAUCAUUGGGAAAUCAGCUAGAGAGACCCAUUGGAAGCC